rnacentral:rRNA from 1 species
UACGUAGGGGGCUAGCGUUGUCCGGAUUUAUUGGGCGUAAAGAGCGUGUAGGCGGCCAGGUAGGUCUGCUGUGAAAACUCGAGGCUUAACCUCGAGAUGUCGGCGGAAACCAUCUGGCUAGAGUCCGGAAGAGGAGAGUGGAAUUCCUGGUGUAGCGGUGAAAUGCGUAGAUAUCAGGAAGAACACCCGUGGCGCAAGCGACCGCCUGGCCGAGUGCUGACACUGAGGCACGAAAGCGUGGGGAGCGAACCGG